rnacentral:tRNA from 1 species
ACCCUGCGGCGGAUGUCAGCGGUUCGAGUCCGCUU